UUGCGAUGGUCACACACCUGGAGAGAUGCAUUCUGAUGUACGAGCUGGCGGUCCUUGUUUCCCAAUCACCAUGCCAGUAAAUGAAGGACAUUUCCAAAAGAACUGCAUGGAGUUCAAAAGAUCAGCCCCAGCACCUGGAAGGAAUACUCGAGAACAGUUGAACCUACUGACGUCCUUUGUGG